AUACUUACCUGGCAGGGGAGAUACCAUGAAGGUGGUUUCCCCAGGGUGAGGCUUGUCCAUUGGACUCCAGAUGUGCUGACCCUUCGAUUUCCCCAAAUGUGAGAAACUCGCUGCAUAAUUUGUGAUAGUGGGAGACUUUGUUCACGCUCUUGCCUG